AGAUUGGAUGGUGCUAUUUUGAAAAGAAGAAAGUUGCCGUAAAUCAGAGUAAAAUACUUAGCUCUUCAGGAUCACAGGUAAAUACAAUCCUCACAGACAGAUAGAUUCUCCUUUGCAUGUGGAGGGGAGAAAUAAUUUAUGUCUGAGAAACUCACCACGGAACAAAAAAGUUAAUCUGCGUUCCACUUCUUGGGAGAGGUAGGUGCAAUAAA
rnacentral:lncRNA from 1 species